GAGAGUUACGAGGCUCCGAAACACCGCGAACAUACCACUACGUUGCCUCGGCGGGCGGCUCCAGGGCGGAGCCUCCGGCCCCCCCCCCGGGGGGGGCGCCCGCCGCGAGGCCCCAAACCCCGUUGUGACUAGGCCCCUCUGAGUACCCGCGCAAGCACUAA
rnacentral:misc_RNA from 1 species